rnacentral:rRNA from 1 species
AUUGAACGCUGGCGGCAGGCCUAACACAUGCAAGUCGAGCGAGCGGCGGGCGGGUGAGUAAUGUAUGGGGACUGCCCGAUAGAGGGGGAUAACAACUGGAAACGGUGACUAAUACCGCAUACUGUCGGAUAACACCUAUGGGAUUGGCUAGUAGGUAAGGUAAGGGCUUACCUGGGCGACGAUCCCUAGCUGGUCUGAGAGGAUGAUCAGCAACACUGGGACUGAGACACGGCCCAGACUCUUACGGAGGCAGCAGUGGGGAAUAUUGCACAAUGGGCGCAAUCCUGAUGCAGCCAUGCGGCGGGUAGGAAGAAGGCCCUAGGGUUUUAAAGUACUUUCAUUCGGGAGGCGUUACCGACAGAAGAAGCACCGGCUAACUCCGUGCCAGCAGCCGCGGUAAUAC